UGGAAAAGGAUGUGGGGUUGCACAGACAACUAGGAUGUUGGCUUAGAAGCAGCCAUCAUUUAAAGAGUGCGUAAUAGCUCACUAGUCGAGUGACCCUGCGCCGAAAAUGUACCGGGGCUAAACAUAUUACCGAAGCUGUGGAGUACACCUUUAGGUGUAUUGGUAGGAGAGCGUUCUAAGGGCGUUGAAGGCAGAUCGUGAGGACUGCUGGAGCGCUUAGAAGUGAGAAUGCCGGUAUGAGUAGCGAAAGACAGGUGAGAAUCCUGUCCACCGAAUGACUAAGGUUUCCUGGGGAAGGCUCGUCCGCCCAGGGUUAGUCGGGACCUAAGCCGAGGCCGACAGGCGUAGGCGAUGGAUAACAGGUUGAUAUUCCUGUACCCGUUGUUUUUGUUUGAGCAAUGGAGGGACGCAGGAGGCUAAGGAAUGCAGACGAUCGGAAAUGUCUGUCCAAGCAG
rnacentral:rRNA from 1 species